rnacentral:pre_miRNA from 1 species
AAUAAAUACAGCCAUGAGUUUUCGUGCCCAACUUUGAUCGUCUAUUUUAUUUGAAAUUUUUUUAUAAUUAACAUUUUUGUUGCUAUGAGAUGAUAAAACAUGAAUAGUACUUUACUCGUGACUUAUGUUUUUAGUUUUUUCACAAAAAAUUUCAAAUAAGACGAACGGUCAAAGUUGGGCGCGGAAAACCAUGGCUACACUUAUU